GACGAACGCUGGCGGCGUGCUUAACACAUGCAAGUCGAACGGAAAGGCCCUGCUUUUGUGGGGUGCUCGAGUGGCGAACGGGUGAGUAACACGUGAGUAACCUGCCCUUGACUUUGGGAUAACUUCAGGAAACUGGGGCUAAUACCGGAUAGGAGCUCCUGCUGCAUGGUGGGGGUUGGAAAGUUUCGGCGGUUGGGGAUGGACUCGCGGCUUAUCAGCUUGUUGGUGGGGUAGUGGCUUACCAAGGCUUUGACGGGUAGCCGGCCUGAGAGGGUGACCGGCCACAUUGGGACUGAGAUACGGCCCAGACUCCUACGGGAGGCAGCAGUGGGGAAUAUUGCACAAUGGGCGGAAGCAUGAUGCAGCAACGCCGCGUGCGGGAUGACGGCCUUCGGGUUGUAAACCGCUUUCGCCUGUGACGAAGCGUGAGUGAGGGUAAUGGGGAAAGAAGCACCGGCGAACUACGU
rnacentral:rRNA from 1 species